CUCCCAUGGCGCCACCCCCUCCAUCCCUUUCUUUCUCAAGAUCCUCUCCAUCUCCCAUGGCGUCGGCUCCCCCUCUCGUUCUUCCCUUUUUGUUGAUUGUUGAUGAGAUUCUGUGUGGCCAUUUCCCAUCGAAGGGAUGAUUGUUGCCGCUUUCUUGUUGGCUGCUGUGGGCGGUAAAGCUUGCCCUACUGCCGAUGAUAUCAAGAAAAUUCUUGGAUCAGGUGUAAACUGUUAAUGAUCUUGGAUUAGCUGAAGUCUUAGGGUUUAACAUCUCAAGAAGGUUGUAUUGGAGAUUCGGAGGUUUUCUUGGCGGUGGUUUGGGACCCAUGUUUAAAUAUCUCUGUCAGAUGCAAAUCUUCGUCAAGUCUCUUACAGAAAAAACCAUCACUCUCGAGGUCGAGAGUUCUGACACCAUCAACAAUGUUAAUUGCAGCUACUGGUCGGCCACUUUAAUCAGGAUCAUCAAAAUUGUUGUAAGUUGAGUUCAUAAGUUUAUCAGUUAUGUAUAUUCUGCUUCCCCCCCCCCCCCCCCC